rnacentral:rRNA from 1 species
UACGUAUGGUCCGAGCGUUGUCCGGAAUUAUUGGGCGUAAAGGGCUCGUAGGCGGUCUGUUGCGUCGGGAGUGAAAACUUACAGCUUAACUGUGAGCGUGCUUCCGAUACGGGCAGACUUGAGGUAUUCAGGGGAGAACGGAAUUCCUGGUGUAGCGGUGAAAUGCGCAGAUAUCAGGAGGAACACCGGUGGCGAAGGCGGUUCUCUGGGAAUAUCCUGAUGCUGAGGAGCGAAAGUGUGGGGAGCGAACAGG